rnacentral:rRNA from 1 species
AACGAACGCUGGCGGCAUGCCUAACACAUGCAAGUCGAACGAGACCUUCGGGUCUAGUGGCGCACGGGUGCGUAACGCGUGGGAACCUGCCCUUAGGUUCGGAAUAACUCCCCGACAGGGGUGCUAAUACCGGAUAAUGUCUUCGGACCAAAGAUUUAUCGCCUUUGGUUGGGCCCGCGUUGGAUUAGCUAGUUGGUAGGGUAAAAGCCUACCAAGGCGACGAUCCAUAGCUGGUCUGAGAGGAUGAUCAGCCACACUGGGACUGAGACACGGCCCAGACUACUACGCGAGGCAGCAGUGGGGAAUAUAGGACAAUGGGCGAAAGCCUGAUCCAGCAAUGCCGGGUGAGUGAUGAAGGCCUUAGGGUUGUAAAGCUCUUUUACCCGGGAUGAUAAUGACAGUACCGGGAGAAUAAGCUCCGGCUAACUCCGUG